AUUGAACGCUGGCGGCAGGCCUAACACAUGCAAGUCGAACGAGUGGCGGACGGGUGAGUAAUGUCUGGGAAACUGCCCGAUGGAGGGGGAUAACUAAUGGAAACGGUAGCUAAUACCGCAUACAAUCGGAUGUGCCCAUAUGGGCUUAGCUAGUAGGUGGGGUAACGGCUGACCUAGGCGACGAUCCAUCGCUGGUCUGAGAGGAUGAGCAGACACACUGGAACUGAGACACGGUCCAGACUCCUACGUGAGGCAGCAGUGGGGAAGAUUGCACAGUGGGCGCAAGCCUGAUGCAGCCAUGCCGGGUGUAUGAAGAAGGCCUUCGGGUUGUAAAGUACUUUCAGCGUGGAGGCGUUACUCGCAGAAGAAGCACCGGCUAACUCCGUUCCAGCAGCCGCGGUAAUAC
rnacentral:rRNA from 1 species